CAGAAAUGGGGGCUCCUUUGAAGACAAAGAAAGCAUUUCGAAUCGUUUUAUCGCUCAUUGAAGCAGUCUUCCUUUGCCUUGAAGGGAACUCCUAAUUCUU
rfam:Amborella trichopoda AMTR_V1.0_contig_41419, whole genome shotgun sequence.